UACGGAGGGUGCAAGCGUUAUCCGGAUUCACUGGGUUUAAAGGGUGCGUAGGUGGGUUGGUAAGUCAGUGGUGAAUCCCGAGCUUAACUUGGGAACUGCCAUUGAUACUAUCAGUCUUGAAUACCGUGGAGGUCAGCGGAAUAUGUCAUGUAGCGGUGAAAUGCUUAGAUAUGACAUAGAACACCAAUUGCGAAGGCAGCUGGCUACACGAAUAUUGACACUGAGGCACGAAAGCGUGGGAUCAAACAGG
rnacentral:rRNA from 1 species